GGUUUUGGUGAAUUGGGGCCAUAUUUUAAUACAUAUUUUAAAAAACAACUUAUGAGGCAUAUCCAAAAUGCUCCACAGAACCUUUCAGAAAUAUUUCUGGAAAAACAAAAGAAAACGCCCACUCAGCUUGGAACUACUCAGGAACUGAAUUUCAUCAGUUGACAAGAAAUCACCAUGGCUGCCAUCAGCAUGAACAGGAGAGGUUGUUGGCUCUACACCAGGCUGUUAGCCGCUGCACCUCCUCUCUGUAUGCUGACUCGUCGUUCUUGCUGAUGAGACCCACCACGGUCGUGUCAUCGGCGAACCUGAUGAUGUGGUUGGAUCUGUGCAUUGCUGCACAGUCGUGAGUCAGCAGAGUGAACAGCAGUGGACUGAGCACACAGCCCUGAGGAGCUCCAGUGUUCAGUGUGGUGGUGCUGGAGAUGCUGUUCCCGAUCCGGACUGACUGAGGUCUCCCAGUCAGGAAAUCCAGGAUCCAGUUGCAGAGAGAGGUGAUAUCUGUCUACACUACUGCUUAAUAAACCUGUUUUUUCUUUUUCCACACAAUCUUCUUACUUAGCCUCAAGAAGGUAAAAAAAAAUAAAAUAAAUAAUAUCUCUUUAUCCUGGUCAGAUCUGAAGAACAGAAUUCUGUCUCAGAAACCCUGGACAUGAGGCUGGAAUACUCCCUGGAUGGGACUCGUAUAAUGUUCUGUUUGAUAACUCUGAGUAUUUUAUUCAUCCAUAAAAGGGGAAACUGGGUGUCAGAACAUCCUGAACACAUGUGAAGACCCAACAGUUCACAGUAAACUCUCAGGAGGAAGGAGAGAGAGAGAGAGAGAGAGAGAGAGAAAGAACUUAUUAAUAGACUUUUUGUCCAGAUUAUGUGUAUGAAAGCUGUUACAGGAGUUUAGGAGGCCUGUGAUGAGCAUUUGAGGUAGUGUGUGUAUAAAUGACUGUGAAGGAGCUGUAAAUAACGUGGCAGUGUAAGAAUGUGUAAUGUGCAGUUGGGUAUGAUAAAUCAGGAGACCUGGGCUGUGUCCAACGUCCAGCUUUUUUCUUUUUAAGGUCAUUUUAAUUGGUUUUAGAAAUGGGUCAACAUUUUUUUAGCUGCUGUGGGUUCGAGCUGUAGGUUUUGGUGUUGAAUGAGUGGCAGUGACAUAUUUAGCCUGACAAUGAGCUAACGCAAGCUGUGUGGGAGAAUCUGAGGUGCAAGAAAAAUUUUCCUAUUACUCUGACUUAUGUAAUAUCUAUGACAUGUGUAAUGUUUGCAGGCAGUUUUGUCAUUCCAUAAUGAGUAUAAUAUUGACUAGAGUGGAGGUUUAUCUCUAUCAGAAGGUGUUCAAAGAUCCAUCGAUCAAACGUUUUUUGAUUUCUUUGAGUAUGGGAGAUUCUUCUUCUUCUUCUUUUUUCAGCUUUUCCCUUCAGGGGUCGCCACAGCGAAUCAUCUCUCUCCACCUAUCCCUAUCUUCUCCAUCCUCAACACUUGCACCCACUAGCUUCAUAUCCUCAUUUAUUACAUCCAUAUUCCUCCUCUUUGUCCUUCCUCUUUGCCUCCUUCCUGGCAGCUCCAUGUCCAACAUUCUCCUACCAAUAUACUCACUCUCCCUCCUCUGAACAUGUCCAAACCAUCUUAAUCUGUCCUCCCUAACUCUGUCCCCCAAACAUCCAACAUGAGCUGUCCCUCUGAUGUACUCGUUCCUAAUCCUGUCCAACCGUGUCACUCCCAAAGAGAACCUCAACAUCUUCAGCUCUGCUACCUCCAGCUCUCUUCCUCAGUGACACUGCCUCUAAACCAUACAGCAUGGCCAGUCUCACCACUGUCUUGUACACCUUCCCCUUGAUUCUCGCCGAUAUUUUUCUAUCACACAGAACUCCCAACACCUUUCUCCACCCAUUCCAACCUCCCUGCACUCGUGAGUAAGGGAAAUUAAACUAAAUAAUAAGUUUACAUUGAAAAGAGAUUGGAAAUUGAGUCCUAAGUGUGGUAACUGGACACUGGAAGCCGUGUUACCUGACGGUUAACCUCAAGGUUGGUGACAGUAAUUCAGCUCUUUCUCACACUAUUCAGAUAAAUAUGCAAUUUGAUAUACAGCUGUUAAUGUAGAGGGAAUAUCUACUCAAAAAUAGUGCUUGUGUAUUUAGGCUUAAAUGAUCAGACUGCCUUUUUAUUCAUGUUUUAUUUACUCAUAUUCCAUCAAACGAAGCUCCUGAAACUAAAGGUAAACGAACAAGGCAGUGACACACUUACAGUUUGUCCACUCUUUCCCCUGUUCUGAUACAAACAUAUUUACAUUUUUCAGUUUCCUGUUCCACUGUGGGAAAGAGAAAACAAACACAAGAGAGAGACCAAGGCCUCUCAGCACAAGUACGGGGGAAAUGCAUUGUCAUAACAGGGUCUGAGUGAAAACAAGAUUCUGCUAUGAAUGAGAAUGACGAAAACACGUCUCGGGCUUAUCGAGCUCUUACAGUAUGGAACAUGGUUAGGCUGUAGUGGAGAAGUCGUGUUGUAUGCUUUGUACUGACAAUUGAUCCGAUCUCUCUCUGGCCGCCUACGCAGAACCAGCAUUAACUUCUUCAGCAAUCUGAGCAACAGUAGCUCGACUGUUGGAUCGGAUCACACGGUCCAGCCUUCGCUGCCCCUUUGCCGCCCUCUUCCUUCCUUGGAGCUCUUUUGAUAGAUAGUGACCACUGCAGACCGGGAACACCCCACAAGAGCUGCAGUUUUGGAGAUGCUCUGAUCCAGUGGUCUACCCAUCACAAUUCAGCCCUUCGUUAAACUCGCUCAAAUCCUGACGAUUGUCCAUUUUUCCUGCUUCUAACACAUCAACUUUGAGGACAAAAUGUUCACCUGCUGCCUAAUAUAUCCCACCCACUAACAGGUACCAUGAUGAGGAGACAAUCAGUGUUAUUCACUUCACCUAUCAGCGGUCAGAAUGUUCCGCCUGAUCGGUGUACACGACAGUGUAUUGUUUAGAAAGCGUCAUCUCAGCAUUUGUGUGUCAGAGGGGCUUCGUACAGCUCAUUUUUCUUCGAAAGCUGUUGCUCAGCUGACAGAAAGUGUUAUGUGGCAAAUUUCACUCUCUCAGUUUAUUUUGGUUUCCCUUUGUAGCAGGGGUCUCACCGUUGAGUCACUGGUGCGAAGCAAUAUUUCACCCCGUCACAUGUGGCCUCGCAUGCAGAGUUCACGCUCCGGUGAUAAAGCUAACGGGAGUGUACGUGAAGGGGAGUCGCGAUGGUGGGCCAAUGAGGACGCAGCAGCUUGUAUAUAAACACAAACAAAUUAGUGUUCACUGAAUUGUUAAACGCUUCUUCUUUCAUGUGUUGCGGGAGCCCCAGGCUUGACUCAGAGUUUCUCAUGGGGGUUUGUGGUGAUGAGUCAGCCGUGUGGAAGUCUUGUGAUCCCACUCCUACACUGAGAAACAGCUCGUCUGUCACUGAUAACAGCUUUUAUUUCGUUUUUUCCUAUAGAGCAGUGUUAACCCUUUGGGGGAAUUUCAUUACGUUGUAAGUGACACAACGGAAAACAGCUCAUUCUGAUUUCUAAUUAAACAAUAUAAGCCUCCGAUACAAUACAAUGGUAUUAAAAUCUAUAAAAUAUUUUUCUUUAAGCAGGAAAGUCACUUUUUAAUCAAACUAAAGGAUCAUGUAUAGGUAUAGUUACCUGUGAUUGUGGAUACUGCUGGAAGCUGUAAAUUUCCCAUUGGGAUGAAUAAAGUAUCUAUCUAUCUAUCUAUCUAUCUAUCUAUCUAUCUAUCUAUCUAUCUAUCUAUC